GACGAACCUUGCAAACGUUAUUCGGAAUCACUGGGCUUAAAGGGUGCGUAGGCUGUGCAGAAAGUUGGGUGUGAAAUACCUCGGCUUAACCGAGGAAUUGCGCCCAAAACUACUGUGCUCGAGGAAGAUAGAGGUGAGCGGAACUUAGGGUGGAGCGGUGAAAUGCGUUGAUAUCCUAAGGAACACCGGUGGCGAAAGCGGCUCACUGGAUCUUUUCUGACGCUGAGGCACGAAAGCUAGGGUAGCAAACGG
rnacentral:rRNA from 1 species